UACGAAGGGGGCUAGCGUUGCUCGGAAUCACUGGGCGUAAAGCGCACGUAGGCGGACUCUUAAGUCGGUGGUGAAAUCCUGGAGCUCAACUCCAGAACUGCCUUCGAUACUGAGAGUCUCGAGUCCGGGAGAGGUGAGUGGAACUGCGAGUGUAGAGGUGAAAUUCGUAGAUAUUCGCAAGAACACCAGUGGCAAGGACGGCG
rnacentral:rRNA from 1 species